rnacentral:tRNA from 1 species
GCCUCAGUGGCUCAAUGGUUGAGCAUCUGCCUUCAGCUCAGGUCGUGAUCCCAGGGUCCUGGGAUCGAGUCCCACAUCAGGCU